AGACAGAUAGCUUCAAGUUCAGAUAGAGUAUGACUUAAAAAUGAAGACGAAGCUCGAAGGUCCAUUGGAAGAAGUUGGAAGCCAGACUAAAGGAAGAUGGACAUUUGGAUUAUGUCUUGCAACCUUUUCGACGACAAGUAAACUGAAUAGGCCAGUCAAACAAAGCCACAAUUGAAGAAGAUGAAGAUGAUGUUGCAGAGAUGAUGAUCGACGUUACCAAAUUACAACUAGGCUAUAUACUUAGUUGAGGGUUUCACCAUUCAAUUAAGCUCACCGUGCAGUCCGAAGAAUAUGGUAUGAAUUUUGGGAAAAAGCACGCAGGUUCUUCUUUCUUGCCCCCCCUGGUUCCCGGUUCAUUUUUUUGCGCGUCUUUAAUUUUUAUUAUUUUUAUCCUUACCAGCUCGCCCAAAAUUUUGCUAGCUCACCCAAUUUCAAAAUUCUGUCAAACAUAUUGUCAAACUUGGCUGUACAAACAACUUAAUUGUUCGAUUCAAUCCUUCUGAAAUGAGAAUCAUAUCCA